rnacentral:lncRNA from 1 species
GGGUCAGCUGAAAAGGCCUGCUGCUGCUUUACAGUUACUACCAAGGCUCAACCCUUAGAAUGCUGAGAAAAUCUUCAGCCUGAUUCAAGGGAGGGCUCUUCUGGGAACGAGUUCAAUGAAACCAAAAGAGAACUUACUAUGAGAAAUUUAUUUAAGAUUCUGACUUCAAUGGAAUCUCUUCUUUCUAAAUGUGUUAUAAAAUCCAGAGAAAAAUGUUGCAUAGUAUUAUGAAUGGCUACUAUUUUUGCCAGCUCCAUUCCCAUUCCUUCUUCCUUUCCUCUUUUCCUUCCUUCCUUUCUCCUUCCUUCCACCCCCCUUUCAUUUAUCUUCCUCUUCCUUCCUUCCUUUCCUUUCUUCCUUCUUCCUUCCUCUCUCCUUCCCUUCUUCCUUUCCUUCCUUCCUUCCUUCCUUCUUCUCUCCCUCCCUUUCCUCCUUUUUCCCUCCCUUUCCUUUCCCUCCUUCCUUCCUUCAUUCCUUCCUCCCUCUUCCUUCAUCUUUCCUUUCUUCAUUAUUCCUUUCCUCAGCUAUUCCCUCCUCCAUCAUUCUUUCAUUUUUCAAAUAUUUCAUUUCCUUCCUUCUUCCCUCCCUUCCUUCCUUCCUUCCUUUCCUUCCUUCCUUCCUUCCUUCCUUCCUUCCUUCCUUCCUUCCUUCCAUCUUUCCUUCCUUCCUUCCUUCCUUCCUUCCCUUCCUUCCUUCCAUUCCAUUCUUCCAUUCCAUUCCUCCAUUCCUUUCUUCAUUCCUUUCCUCCUUUUUCAUUUCUUUCUUCCUCCUCCUCAUUCCAUUCAUGAUCAUAUUUUCAUUUCAUUCUUCCCAUUCAUCGUUCACAAUUUCAUUCAUUUCAUUUCCAUUCAUUCAUUCAGUAUUCAUUCAUUCAUUCAUUCAUUCCCUUCCCUUCCCUCCACCCUCCCUCCCCCCUCCCUCCCUCUCUUCCUUUCUCCCUCCCUCCCUCUCUUCCUUUCUCAUUUUCUUCCUCCCUCCUCAUUCCCUACUCCCUUGCUCCUUCCAGCCCCAUCUUUCUUCCUUUUUUCUUUUUCUUUUUUGUUAUUUGGGAGGGUUGUGUGCCUCACACACCCCUUCUGUGAUUAAAAUCUACUCCUUGAUUUUAGGGGGUGUGGGCAUGUGAUCUAGAUUAGGCCAGUCAGAUUCUUCAAACAGGAAUUUGAAUAUUGACAUCAGGGACAAAAAGCAACUGGAGC